rnacentral:rRNA from 1 species
AUUGAACGCUGGCGGCAUGCCUUACACAUGCAAGUCGAACGGCAGCAUGAUCUAGCUUGCUAGAUUGAUGGCGAGUGGCGAACGGGUGAGUAAUACAUCGGAACGUGCCCUGUAGUGGGGGAUAACUAGUCGAAAGAUUAGCUAAUACCGCAUACGACCUGAGGGUGAAAGUUGGGGACCGCAAGGCCUCAUGCUAUAGGAUCGGCCGAUGUCUGAUUAGCUAGUUGGUGAGGUAAAGGCUCACCAAGGCGACGAUCAGUAGCUGGUCUGAGAGGACGAUCAGCCACACUGGGACUGAGACACGGCCCAGACUCCUACGGGAGGCAGCAGUGGGGAAUUUUGGACAAUGGGCGAAAGCCUGAUCCAGCAAUGCCGCGUGUGUGAAGAAGGCCUUCGGGUUGUAAAGCACUUUUGUCCGGAAAGAAAUGGCUCUGGUUAAUACCUGGGGUCGAUGACGGUACCGGAAGAAUAAGGACCGGCUAACUACGUG